AAAAAAAAAAAAAAGAAAGUUUUGUAAGGAGCAGGGAGUGAUCAGCUGAGUCAAAUUCUGCAGCUGAUAGGUUAAGCAAGAGUAGGACUCCUCAAUGGCCAUUGGAUCUCCUCAAGUGGAAAUCACUGGUGAGCUUUGAGACAUUUUGGUGGACUGUUGGGGCGAAAGCUGAAUUGUAAUUGUAGUGAGAAGAAACAGGAGGAGGAGAGGAAUUGGAGGCACGAGCUCAGACAAGCUUUUCAGGAGAUUUUCUGGAAAGAGAGGGAGCAGAGUAAUUAGGUAAGAGCAGGAGGAAGAUGUGAGGUCAAGCUAGGAACUUUUUCCCAACAUUUUAUUGUGAAAGUUUUCAAACAUACCAAAAAGUUGAAAGAAUUUUACAGUGAACAUAUACAGACCCACUCUCUGGAUUCUGCAACCAACAUUUUACUAGACUUGCUUUAUCACGUGUAUGUCCAUCUAUCCCUCCCUAAGACAGGUUUAUUUUCUUUUUCAUUUUCUUUUGUUUUUCUUUUUUCUUUUUCUCUUCCUUUUUUUUUUUUUUUUUUUUUUUUUGAGACACGGUCUUGCUCUGUUGCUCAGGCUGGAGUGCAGUUGUGUGAUCAUGGCUCACUGCAGCUUUGACCUCCUGGGCUCAAAUGAUUCUCCCACCUCAGCCUCCCCAGUAGGUGAGACCACACUUUUAAAAAUGUUUUGGCCAGGCACGGUGGCUCACACCUGUAAUCCCAGCACUUUGGGAGGCCGAGGAGGCUGGAUCACCUGAGGUCGGGAGUUCGAGACCAGCCUGGCCAACAUGGUGAAACCCCGUCUCUACUGAAAAUACAAAAUUAGCCAGGUGUGGCGGUGCAUGCCUGUAAUCCCAGCUACUUGGGAGGCUGAGGCAGGAAAAUCGCUUGAACCUGGGAGGCAGAGGUUGCAGUGAGCUGAGAUUGCACCAUUGCACUCCAGGCUGGGCGACAAGAGCGAGACUCUGUCUCAAAAAAAAAUUUUUUUUUCUGUAGAGAUGGGGUCUCACUAUGUUGCCGGGGCUGGUCUUGAACUCCUGGACUCAAGUGAUCCUCCUGCCUUGGCUUCCCAAAGUGCUGGGAUUACAGGCAUGAGCCACUUCGCCUAACAGGUAUUAGUUUUUUUUGUUUGUUUUUUUGAGACGGAGUCUCACUCUGUUGCCAGGCUGGAGUGCAGUGGCACGAGCUCGGCUCACUGCAACCUCUGCUUCCUAGGUUCAAGUGAUUCUCCUGCCUCAGCCUCCCGGGUAGCUGGGAUUUUUUUUUUAACAUUGAUAAAUUACAGGCUGAUUAAAGUUUGAUGGGAAAAAUGCAAUGGGUGGAGGAGACUGAGGAUACGGGAGAAAGAGGGAGGGAUUUUUGAAGCAAUUGGCUGAGUGGAAAAAAGGGGCUAAGAUCUACUGCUAAGUGAUGGAUUGAUCUUUUUUUUAUUUUUUAUUUAUUUUUUAUUUUUAUUUAUUUAUUUUUUUGAGAUGGAGUUUCGCUCUUGUUGCCCAGGCUGGAGUGCAAUGGCAUGAUCUGGGCUCACCGCAACCUCCGCCUCCCGGGUUCACGCCAUUCUCCUGCCUCAGCCUCCCG
rnacentral:lncRNA from 1 species